rnacentral:lncRNA from 1 species
CUCCAUUUCACGAAAUCGGAUUACAUUACCUAUUCUGUAGACCACAGAAAUGGAAGUGGUCGUCAACUUAAUUGGUAACUGGAACUAAGUUAUUUCUCUCAUGGGUACAAGCUCAAAAACAGGUUCUGGCGUUAGGAGACUACAAAAGGAUGCUGUGCAUUGAGUGUUGCCAAACCUUACUCUCUACCUCUCUUCUCCUCCGCCUCUUCUUAGACCAACCUGAGUAUCCACUAGUGACCUACGAAUCCAGCUCGAAAAGGAGCGUCAGGAAGCCUUGGAGCUGAAAAUGUUUGGGGAAGAAGAGGUGCUAACCGUUCACGAGCUUUAUGAUAAGUUGUUACUUGAAACAUUACAGUCGGGAUUUAUACUAAUUAAAUCCCUCAAAUUAGCCCUUGUUAAGCUGGAAGCAACUGAAGGUAGAUGCCUUGAUAUAAGGCUAGCCUCGAAAUAUAAGAAUACAUUACUAAAAUUC